rnacentral:rRNA from 1 species
GUUUGAUCCUGGCUCAGAACGAACGCUGGCGGCGGGCCUCAUACAUGCAAGUCGAGCGCGUGUAGCAAUACACGAGCGGCGUACGGGUGAGUAACGGGUGGAUAACCUGCCUCCGGGUGGGGGAUAACGGCUGGAAACGGCCGCUAAUACCGCAUACGGUUGCCGGCCUUUGGGCUGGUAAAGAAAGGGGCUUCACAGCCUCGCCGGGAGAUGGGUCCGCCUUCGAUUAGCUAGUUGGUGGGGUAAUGGCCUACCAAGGCGAUGAUCGAUAGCCGAACUGAGAGGUUGAUCGGCCACACUGGAACUGAGACACGGUCCAGACACCUACGGGUGGCAGCAGUAGGGAGUAUUGCGCAAUGGGCGAAAGCCUGACGCACCCACGCCGCGUGGAUGAUGAAGGCCUUCGGGUCGUAAAGUCCUUUUAUGAGGGAAGAACGGUCUGGUGAGGAAAUGCACUGGGCGUGACGGUACCUCAGGAAUAAGCCACGGCUAACUCUGUGCCAGCAGCCGCGGUAAUACAGAGGUGGCUAGCGUUGUUCGGAUUUACUGGGCGUAAAGGGAGCGCAGGCGGCCAAAUUAGUCUGAAGUGCAAGCCCGGGGCUCAACCCCGGAAUGGCUUUGGAUACUGUUUGGCUUGAGUAUGUCAGAGGUGAGCGGAAUUCCAGGUGUAGCGGUGAAAUGCGUAGAUAUCUGGAGGAACAUCCGUGGCGAAGGCGGCUCACUGGGACACAACUGACGCUGAGGCUCGAAAGCGUGGGGAGCGAACGGGAUUAGAUACCCCGGUAGUCCACGCUGUAAACGUUGUGCACUAGGUGUGGGAGGUGUCUACCCUCUUCCGUGCCGCAGCUAACGCGUUAAGUGCACCGCCUGGGGAGUACGG